UGUCUUUUUGAAAAUAAUAUAAAGUCUGAUCUGCCCACUGAUUUGAUAAUUGAAGGGCUGCAGUAUAUUGACUGUACAAAGGUAGCAUAAUCAUUAGUCAUUUAAUUGAUGACUUGUAUGAAGGAUUGGAUGAAAUAUAAACUGUCUCUUAAUUAAAUAUAGAAUUUAAUUUUUUAAUUAAAAAGUUAAAAUAGAUUAAAAAGACGAGAAGACCCUAUAGAGUUUUAUAAAUAAAUUAAUUAAGAUUAUUUAUUAAGUUAAAAUUAAAAUUGAAAUAUUUAUUAUAUUGGGGUGAUAGAAAAAUAUAGUUAACUUUUUUUAUAUGGGUAACAUAUAUAAGUGAUUAAAUGAUCCAAUAUUAUUGAUUGUAAGAAAAAAUUACCUUAGGGAUAACAGCGUAAUUUUUUUUUUUAGUUCAUAUAAGAAAAAGAGUUUGCGACCUCGAUGUUGGAUUAAGAUAAAAUUUAAAUGCAGAAG
rnacentral:rRNA from 1 species